rnacentral:sRNA from 1 species
CAUGACUUUUAUUUUUAUCUCUAGAAGGGGUCUUAGCCCCCUAGUCUCCAGUUGCUGCUGACACACCAACCGCCUGCUGCUUCAGCUACAUCUCCCGGCAGAUUCCACAGAAUUUCAUAGCUGACUACUUUGAGACCAGCAGCCAGUGCUCCAAGCCCAGUGUCAUCUUCCUAACCAAGAGAGGCCGGCAGGUCUGUGCUGACCCCAGUGAGGAGUGGGUCCAGAAAUACGUCAGCGACCUGGAGCUGAGUGCCUGAGGGGUCCAGAAGCUUCGAGGCCCAGUGACUUCGGUGGGCCCAGUGGGGAGCAGGAGCCUGAGCCUUGGGAACAUCCCUGUGACCUGCACAGCUACCUCUUCUAUGGACUGGUUGUUGCCAAACAGCCACACUGUGGGACUCUUCUUAACUUAAAUUUUAAUUUAUUUAUACUAUUUAGUUUUUGUAAUUUAUUUUCGAUUUCACAGUGUGUUUGUGAUUGUGUGCUCUGAGAGUUCCCCUGUCCCCUCCCCCUUCCCUCACACUGUGUCUGGUGACAACCGAGUGG